rnacentral:rRNA from 1 species
AGCAGCCGCGGUAAUUCCAGCUCCAAUAGCGUAUAUUAAAGUUGUUGCAGUUAAAAAGCUCGUAGUUGAAUUUCGGGGUUCAUCCGUUGGUCGGGCUUUUUGGGUCUGUACUGGCGUGAUGGAUUCCUACCUUCUGAAUAACCGGCAUGCCAUUAAUUUGGUGCGCCGGGGAAGCAGGACUGUUACCUUGAAAAAAAUUAGAGUGCUUAAAGCAGGCUUAUGCCUGAAUACAUUAGCAUGGAAUAAUGAAAUAGGACGGCAUGGUUCUAUUUUGUUGGUUUCUAGGAUCACCGUAAUGAUUAAUAGGGAUAGUUGGGGGCAUUAGUAUUCAAUUGUCAGAGGUGAAAUUCUUGGAUUUAUUGAAGACUAACUUCUGCGAAAGCAUUUGCCAAGGAUGUUUUCAUUAAUCAAGAACGAAAGUUAGGGGAUCGAAGACGAAUCAGAU